GGCGCGUUAGUCAAACGGUAAAGACGCCGCCCUUUCAAGGCGGAAAUACGAGUUCAAUUCUCGUACGCGCUACCA
rnacentral:tRNA from 1 species